rnacentral:rRNA from 1 species
GACGAACGCUGGCGGCGUGCCUAAUACAUGCAAGUAGAACGCUGAAGGAGGAGCUUGCUUCUCUGGAUGAGUUGCGAACGGGUGAGUAACGCGUAGGUAACCUGCCUGGUAGCGGGGGAUAACUAUUGGAAACGAUAGCUAAUACCGCAUAAUAGCAGUUGUUGCAUGACAACUGUUUGAAAGGUGCAAUUGCACCACUACCAGAUGGACCUGCGUUGUAUUAGCUAGUUGGUGGGGUAACGGCUCACCAAGGCGACGAUACAUAGCCGACCUGAGAGGGUGGUCGGCCACACUGGGACUGAGACACGGCCCAGACUCCUACGGGAGGCAGCAGUAGGGAAUCUUCGGCAAUGGACGGAAGUCUGACCGAGCAACGCCGCGUGAGUGAAGAAGGUUGUCGGAUCGUAAAGCUCUGUUGUAAGAGAAGAACGAGUGUGAGAGUGGAAAGUUCACACUGUGACGGUAUCUUACCAGAAAGGGACGGCUAACUACGUG